ensembl:snoRNA
GCGGGAUGAUGAGAAUCAGAGAGGUUUCGCUAACUGGACUGAACUCUGUGAUGUCACUUUCUCUUGGCUGUCUGACCAA